rnacentral:lncRNA from 1 species
AGCACAUUCACUGGCAGGAACAAGUUGGGUAAAGGUGAUUGGCUAGUACAAGAGGGGGGGUUCCUUUGAACUGAUUAGUUUAAACCACAAGGGGUGUACUUACUAAACUACAUGGUUUCCCAACAUGUUAUCUACCACCAUAAACUACUGGGGGUCAUCUGGCAUCCCAGGUAUUUCCCUGUCUCAUGCUGAUUGGUGGCUGCUAGGGGGCUGCUGUGGAUCCCCACCUAGCCUGACUGAGUCAGGGACACCUGGUGCAGCAGAUCUCUCCUGUUAUUUGUAGACAAACAACUCAGCAGGUGGGUAUGUGCUUAGGAGUGCUCUGUGGGUUUUUCCAAGGACAAAGGUCACACCCACUUCCUUUGUCAGGCUUUGCGCUGAGGUAGAGGCUGGUUUCUCAAAAAUGGAGUCCCACUAGUUUCUCACAUGAAAGGGUAAGAUAAGGUGUCGAUUGAAAAGUACCAGCCCUAGCUUGACCCCCAGGCACCCCAUGAGUGUUCUCAGACACAAGUUUAUUCCUAUAGUUGUUUAUGAUGAUUCUCUCAAAUGACAGGCAAGACAGACAACAUGUCUGUCAGGAGCUGCCACAUAGGAACCAGAUGCCCCUUAGCCUUGAGCAAUGAGAAUGUGGAGAUGUGACAAGCCAGCCAUGGGGUGUGUGUGUGUGUGUGUGUGU